UUGGUCAUGAUGUUUGUGCAGGA
rnacentral:piRNA from 1 species